rnacentral:rRNA from 1 species
UACGAAGGGGGCUAGCGUUGCUCGGAAUCACUGGGCGUAAAGGGCGCGUAGGCGGCCAUUCAAGUCAGAGGUGAAAGCCCAAGGCUCAACCUUGGAACUGCCUUUGAUACUGUUUGGCUUGAGACCGGUAGAGGUAAGUGGAACUGCGAGUGUAGAGGUGAAAUUCGUAGAUAUUCACAAGAACACCAGUGGCGAAGGCGGCUUACUGGACCGGUUCUGACGCUGAGGCGCGAAAGCGUGGGGAGCAAACAGG